rnacentral:rRNA from 1 species
AUGAAAGAUAUCUCCUUCCCUUUCCUCGCCGCCGUCAAAGACAGAAAAGGGAGACAGUUCGCCGAGGCUGCUCUAGUCGGUGGCGGCGCCGGUGCCGGAGCUUCGCCGUCUGUCAAGUACGCUGAGGGAAUGGAGUUCCUACUUGAUGUGGUCGACAGAUUCCCCGUGCAGGAGGAGUUUGCUGACAGUCUUGACCACCCAGAUCCAGUCCCACUCGUUUACCUGAUGGAGAACGGGGGUGCGAAUCCGGAGAUUGGUCAGGCAGAUUCUGGGAUGGCUGAGAUGGUGUGCGACGGUGUACUGACUGACGCUCAAGGAGGUGCCCGGCGUCGCCGUGAUGAAUCUCAUACGAGGUCUGCUCAAUCGAUUGACAGAGUUAAUCCAGAGGCCCCCGGCUGGACUAAAAGGCAUCGGCUGGGGAGCGCGCCACCGGGCCGUGUGCCCUGUCCAUCAAGAAUGAGCGCCCUCGAGCUGUCGAUUCGCAAAUAUGCAAAGCACCAUGACAAGAGCGUGGUGCGACCUGAGCUAGGUUUAAGUUUUGAUUCGCUGGGUGAGGCGUAUGAUUUCUACAACUUAUAUUCUUGA